UACCCCAUCUUAUGAUGAAUAUAUAAUUUGCAGCUGGACUUCCCAUGGAGAACAUUCUAUAUCUUGGAGGACCUAAUAUUGCGUCAGAGAUUUACAGCAAGGAAUAUGCUAAUGCUCGGAUAUGUGGAGCUGAAAAGUGGAGGAAACCACUAGCAAAAUUUUUGAGGCAACCCCAUUUUGUUGUGUGGGAUAAUGGUGACCUUGUCACUCAUGAAGUUAUGGGUGGCUUAAAAAAUGUCUAUGCCAUCGCCCAUCGGAGCUGGUAUGAUAGCAGCUCUAACUAAUGAGAGUGCCACCAGUAAAUCGGUAUACUUUGCACCCUGUACAUCAGAGAUGAUAUUUAUUACUCAUCUUUUAGCAGAAGAACCAGAGAAGCUUGCAGGUCCUCUGUUGGCUGACACAUAUGUAACCCUGUUGAAAGGUCGUAAUGCGUGGUAUGGCCAAAAGUUGGCUAAAGGGGAAUUAAGCCUUGAUAUGGGUGAUAGUAUCAAAGGGAAGGGGAUGAUUCAGAUUGAAGUACAGGCGCAGUGUGUGUGUAAAAGAAACUAUGCCCAUGACGACUUAGUAAAUUAUUUUGCUGAUUAGAUGGAACUAGAGUUUCAAUACUUGAUCUGUACAAUCCUUCUACCAUUUAUAUAGCAAAGGCUUCUAAUCCGCUUCUUAACAACCCCUCCUCCGGCUUCUGAUAACCUUUCAAUUUGUUGUUAGCACUCUUUUAUGCCCUCUCUGCCUUCUGUGAAAGCCUUUUUUGAGCUACUAAGUCAGUCUCCGCAGUGAAAGCCUUUUUUGAGCUACCAAGUCAGUCUCGUUUAAGUAUAUCCUACAUCCCGAAGAAAAAAAGCCUGUUGCUCCAGUUGAGCUCUGUCCCAUCUUGAAAACAUUAUAUAAAAUACUAAUAAUGAGGGAGCUCCCACCACUGGCCAUUCUUCAGGCACUGAGAGAUGAAACGAUGAAUGAUCCCUGAGAGCGCAUUCAAAUAGCACAAUCCCAUGCGUUUUACAAACCUUCUCUUCUUGGGCAGCAGCCUUGAAGGAGAUACGAGCAUUAAAAUUUUUCUGUUCUCCCAGGAUGGGAAUCUAAGUGAACUAAGAUUUUAUAUAUUCAGCCACUUUUGUAGCAUGAUAUGGACUGAUGAUGAUCAGAAUUCAGAACAAUAGUUGUGUAAGCAAUGGUUUGUCAGAUUAUGUAUCUUAGUUCAUUAUUUGUCCCCGAGUUCUAGUUUUAUUUGGGAGAGUUGAAAACGUGCUAUAUUCA